rnacentral:sRNA from 18 species
UGUAGUUGCAGGUAGGAAUACGCUGUACACCCGUGCAACCGAAUUAACGUUUAAGCGGUGUUAUCCACCGUCGGUCACGGGGCCACCGAUUUUCGGUGGUUUUUUUUUGG